rnacentral:rRNA from 1 species
GACGUAGGGCGCGAGCGUUGUCCGGAUUUAUUGGGCGUAAAGAGCGUGUAGGCGGCCUUACAGGUCAGCUGUGAAAACUCGAGGCUCAACCUCGAGACGUCGGUUGAAACCGUAAGGCUAGAGUCCGGAAGAGGUGAGUGGAACUCCGAGUGUAGAGGUGAAAUUCGUAGAUAUUCGGAAGAACACCAGUGGCGAAGGCGGCUCACUGGUCCGGUACUGACGCUGAUGUGCGAAAGCGUGGGGAGCAAACAGG